UCAUUAACUGAAUCCAUAGGUUAAUGAGGCGAACCGGGGGAACUGAAACAUCUAAGUACCCCGAGGAAAAGAAAUCAACCGAGAUUCCCCCAGUAGCGGCGAGCGAACGGGGAGGAGCCCAGAGCCUGAAUCAGCAUGUGUGUUAGUGGAAGCGUCUGGAAAGGCGCGCGAUACAGGGUGACAGCCCCGUACACAAAAGCGCAUGUGCUGUGAGCUCGAUGAGUAGGGCGGGACACGUGGUAUCCUGUCUGAAUAUGGGGGGACCAUCCUCCAAGGCUAAAUACUCCUGACUGACCGAUAGUGAACCAGUACCGUGAGGGAAAGGCGAAAAGAACCCCGGCGAGGGGAGUGAAAAAGAACCUGAAACCGUGUACGUACAAGCAGUGGGAGCACAGGUUUACCUGUGUGACUGCGUACCUUUUGUAUAAUGGGUCAGCGACUUAUAUUCUGUAGCAAGGUUAACCGUAUAGGGGAGCCGGAGGGAAACCGAGUCUUAAUUGGGCGUUAAGUUGCAGGGUAUAGACCCGAAACCCGGUGAUCUAGCCAUGGGCAGGUUGAAGGUUGGGUAACACUAACUGGAGGACCGAACCGACUAAUGUUGAAAAAUUAGCGGAUGACCUGUGGCUGGGGGUGAAAGGCCAAUCAAACCGGGAGAUAGCUGGUUCUCCCCGAAAGCUAUUUAGGUAGCGCCUCGUGAAUUCAUCUCCGGGGGUAGAGCACUGUUUCGGCUAGGGGGCCAUCCCGGCUUACCAACCCGAUGCAAACUGCGAAUACCGGAGAAUGUUAUCACGGGAGACACACGGCGGGUGCUAACGUCCGUCGUGAAGAGGGAAACAACCCAGACCGCCAGCUAAGGUCCCAAAGUCAUGGUUAAGUGGGAAACGAUGUGGGAAGGCCCAGACAGCCAGGAUGUUGGCUUAGAAGCAGCCAUCAUUUAAAGAAAGCGUAAUAGCUCACUGGUCGAGUCGGCCUGCGCGGAAGAUGUAACGGGGCUAAACCAUGCACCGAAGCUGCGGCAGCGAACGUAUCACCCAAGACAACUUUACGGAGUUGACGAUUGACGGAGCGAAGCGACGUCAAAGCGUUCAUUAAAGUCGAGUUGGCUUAGGGAUACGUUCGUUGGGUAGGGGAGCGUUCUGUAAGCCUGUGAAGGUGUGUCGUGAGGCAUGCUGGAGGUAUCAGAAGUGCGAAUGCUGACAUAAGUAACGAUAAAGCGGGUGAAAAGCCCGCUCGCCGGAAGACCAAGGGUUCCUGUCCAACGUUAAUCGGGGCAGGGUGAGUCGACCCCUAAGGCGAGGCCGAAAGGCGUAGUCGAUGGGAAACGGGUUAAUAUUCCCGUACUUGGUGUUACUGCGAAGGGGGGACGGAGAAGGCUAUGUUGGCCGGGCGACGGUUGUCCCGGUUUAAGCGUGUAGGUGUGUGUUCCAGGUAAAUCCGGUUCACUUUAACACUGAGGCGUGACGACGAGGCACUACGGUGCUGAAGCAACAAAUGCCCUGCUUCCAGGAAAAGCCUCUAAGCAUCAGGUAACAUCAAAUCGUACCCCAAACCGACACAGGUGGUCAGGUAGAGAAUACCAAGGCGCUUGAGAGAACUCGGGUGAAGGAACUAGGCAAAAUGGUGCCGUAACUUCGGGAGAAGGCACGCUGACACGUAGGUGAAGUGAUUUACUCAUGGAGCUGAAGUCAGUCGAAGAUACCAGCUGGCUGCAACUGUUUAUUAAAAACACAGCACUGUGCAAACACGAAAGUGGACGUAUACGGUGUGACGCCUGCCCGGUGCCGGAAGGUUAAUUGAUGGGGUCAGCGCAAGCGAAGCUCCUGAUCGAAGCCCCGGUAAACGGCGGCCGUAACUAUAACGGUCCUAAGGUAGCGAAAUUCCUUGUCGGGUAAGUUCCGACCUGCACGAAUGGCGUAAUGAUGGCCAGGCUGUCUCCACCCGAGACUCAGUGAAAUUGAACUCGCUGUGAAGAUGCAGUGUACCCGCGGCAAGACGGAAAGACCCCGUGAACCUUUACUAUAGCUUGACACUGAACAUUGAGCCUUGAUGUGUAGGAUAGGUGGGAGGCUUUGAAGUGUGGACGCCAGUCUGCAUGGAGCCGACCUUGAAAUACCACCCUUUAAUGUUUGAUGUUCUAACGUGGACCCGUAAUCCGGGUUGCGGACAGUGUCUGGUGGGUAGUUUGACUGGGGCGGUCUCCUCCUAAAGAGUAACGGAGGAGCACGAAGGUUGGCUAAUCCUGGUCGGACAUCAGGAGGUUAGUGCAAUGGCAUAAGCCAGCUUGACUGCGAGCGUGACGGCGCGAGCAGGUGCGAAAGCAGGUCAUAGUGAUCCGGUGGUUCUGAAUGGAAGGGCCAUCGCUCAACGGAUAAAAGGUACUCCGGGGAUAACAGGCUGAUACCGCCCAAGAGUUCAUAUCGACGGCGGUGUUUGGCACCUCGAUGUCGGCUCAUCACAUCCUGGGGCUGAAGUAGGUCCCAAGGGUAUGGCUGUUCGCCAUUUAAAGUGGUACGCGAGCUGGGUUUAGAACGUCGUGAGACAGUUCGGUCCCUAUCUGCCGUGGGCGCUGGAGAACUGAGGGGGGCUGCUCCUAGUACGAGAGGACCGGAGUGGACGCAUCACUGGUGUUCGGGUUGUCAUGCCAAUGGCACUGCCCGGUAGCUAAAUGCGGAAGAGAUAAGUGCUGAAAGCAUCUAAGCACGAAACUUGCCCCGAGAUGAGUUCUCCCUGAGACUUAGAGUCUCCUGAAGGAACGUUGAAGACGACGACGUUGAUAGG
rnacentral:rRNA from 1 species